rnacentral:lncRNA from 1 species
GUUUCAAUUUGUAAUAUUUGUAAAAUUUGGUUUGGGGAGGCAUUUGGGGACGCCGUCUAGGAACCGGCUGGAGCUUAAAAACAAAAUCUAACCGGAGCCCCCCCCAUACGGCCGAAAAAAGUGGCAAGUUGGAUGCAAAAUGGGAGGGACGGCUGGAGUUGCUCUUACAAAAAUAAAAAAGGAGAAAAUAUGGCACAGAGACAGAGCAUGCCGCAUCACGAAGCGAAUGCGAACAAGCUUCCCAUUUGAAAUUUAGCACGCUCUAUCUUUUCCC